rnacentral:lncRNA from 1 species
AUUACAAACUGGGUGGCUGAAAACAACAGAAAUUUAUUCUCUCCCAGUUCUAGGGGCUAGAAGACUGGAAUCAAGUUGUUGGCAGGACUUGUUUUCUCUGAAGGCUCCAGGGAGAAUCCGUCCUCGCCUCUUCUCUCUGCCAAGGCUUCCAACAAGCCUUGGUGUCCUUGGCUGGUGGCCACCUCACUCCAUCUCUGCCUCCGUUUUCCCACGGCCGUCCUCCCCACGUGUCUGCAACGGAGCUGCUGUCUGGUCUUUCUGCAAAAAGUCCAUAAUGCAGGUGCUGGACUGGGUGUGUCACGUUCCACCAGCACCGUGACACUGGAGCACAAGCAGAAGCAGCCCCUGAGGACCAGGAAGCCUCUCCAUGGGCCUCCUGCAGCUCAGGACCCCCGCCCUGUUCUUGGGGAGACCGUCUCUCACUUGUUCUUUUCUCUUCCUCUUGAGCCCCUCUUUUUUUCUCCCCACCCUUUUUCCACCUUUCACCAAACAGAUGUAACUAUUUAUUCCUUAUGUCCUAGUUUUCCUGUAAUUUCAUAAAGUGCAAAUUUGCUGUCCUGCUCCCAAAUGCCGAGUCGGUGGUUUGUCAUAACAGUCAUCAGUAACUGUCGCUUUCUGCCGCGGGCUUAAUUAACCCACUCUCUCAUUAGCAUGUCCGUGCACUUGUAAGGAAUGAAAGCCUGAUUAUUUUCUACAACAGUCGCAGCCAAUUACUGCAUCCAAAUGGAACCACAUUAAUCAAAUCUUUAGUACGGUGGCAAAUUCAGAGAUAUCAGAUUGCAAAAGACUGCAAAACUAAUAUGUCACUGUCAGCGGGGCUGCGCAGGCAUUUAGCGAAUUGCAUUAAAUAGAUGGCUUCGCUGAAACCGCAUGAAUUUAAUAUGUGAUGGGAUCUGGAAGCUAUUAGUGUGACAUGGCAAAGGAGUGGGAGCUUUGGCAGCUCUGGACUUUAUCCAUGAACUCAGGAAACUAAUAUGAAAACUUCUGUGUAUGUGUGUGUGUGCACGUGUCUGUGCAUGCGUGUGUGUGUGUGUGUGUGUGUGUAUGCGCACACCCCAGCUUCAGUGCACGCAUGCGCUUCCUGGGGUGUGUGCAACAAAUAGGAAGUCUUAUAGGUUGUAGAACAGCAACCACUGUUUUAUUUGCUCAAGCUCAAAUUAAAACAGAAGAAAUGUAGAAGAGGACUGAGGUGACAGCAAGUAUGGCCCUGAUGAAGUACUUUCAACAUCACUUGCAAAGCGGCCUCUCAGAAGUUCAGACCACAGGCUGCUGAGUCCCAGGGCAAGAGCAUAGACUAGAAGCCAAGACUCCUGGUGUGGUCCUCGUUGCUGCCAGGCAUAGGGCCAUGGGACCCUGGGCUGCCACUGAACAGGCCUCAAUUAUUCUAUCUGUAAAAGUGAAGAAAGGUCAUUAGGAUAUAGCAUACAGCUAUAUUAGUAUUCAGCAUAUAGUAUAUAGUCCAUAGUAUAUAGUAUAUAGCUGUUGACGGAAAGCAGCAUUAUUCUCAGAAAGCAGGAACUUUCUAAAGUGUCAAUCAACGUGGAUCCAUUCACCUCCCUCUCUCCAUCAGCUUAGUGCCUCCCCGGACUUCCCAGCCACUGUGCUCAUUGAAGUGUUCACUCACCAGCACAGUGCCCACACUGCUGUAGAACUCUUACUGCGGAGAUCAGGAAAUACCAAGACACAAAGGAUACCUCCUCCCCAAUACAACUAAAAAUAGUAGACUUGGGUUAGCUUUUAAGAAGGUCCUGCCCUAAAUACACAACAAAAGAAAGGGAUCUCUCUGUAAGGCUAUUGAACUUGGGUUAAUAAAGAAAGUGACUCUCCUGUAAGAAAUAAAUCCACUUAUUUAGUAAGUAAUGCUGAUCAUCAGAAAAGUUACGUCCACCUUAAUGACUUGAGCUGCUCCCAAGAACCGUGACAGCCAUAGCACUCAAUCUUACAUCAAGUACCUAUGCACUUCUUAGGUGUCAGAAGGACUCACUUCACAGGUAAGAAGAUAAAGGCAAUUCCCUCACUAUAAUCACCACAACUUCAUCAUAUAUUUGUCCAUUUUACUAGUAUUUACAAUUGCACACAGUGUGGUAUAAGAGGUGGACUCAUAUACUUUAUCUUGGAGUGGAUUUGGAAAGGUUAGUAGUUGUUGUUGCUUUUAAAGGAAGAGAAGGGCCAGGUAUGGUGGCUCAUGCCUAUAAUCCCAGCACUUUGGGAGGCCAAGGAGGGAGAUCUCUUGAAGCCGGGAGUUGGAGACCAGCCGGGACAACAGAGUGAGACCCUCUCUACAAAAAAUAUAAAACUUAGCCAGGCUUGGUGGUGUACACCUGUAGUCCUAGCUAUUCAGUGAGCUUAGGUGGGAUGAUGGCUUGAGCUCCAGAGGUCAAGUUUGCUGUGAGCUAUGAUCACAUCAUUCUACUCCAGCCUAGGUGACAGAGAGAGACCCUGUCUCUAAAAAACAAAUUAAAUUAAAAACUGAAAAACAAAGGAAGGGAGAUAGAGUGGGGGUGUACAAUGAGACUUUAUUUAGUGUGUACCUGAGUGCGUGUGUGUGUGUGUGUCUGUGUAUGUGUAUAUGAGUGCAUGUGUGUCUAUGUGUGUACGUGAAUGCAUGUGUUUCUGUGUGUCUGUGUCUAUGCGUGUGUGUGUGUGUGUGUGUGUGUGUGUGUGUAAAGGGAAUCAAAGAGGAGCAAAGCCACAAAAUUGAGUCAAACACUGGAGGGGAGAAUUCAAGACUAGUAAAGAAUGGCUUUUUAGACACCAACCCUUGUCACUGUAUAUACCAGUAACACGUAUAUCGUUAAUGCUGUGUCUAGAUCAGAGAACUGGAAGCUGAAAAGGCCUGAAGGCCACGUGAGUCUUCACACACUGCCUCCUGCACCUGCCAGCACCCAGAGGCAUGGGCACACCAUGGUUUCCAGGGAGGAGCUCUU